rnacentral:tRNA from 1 species
GCCCCUUUAGCUCAGAGGAUAGAGCAGAGGUUUCCUAGACCUUUGGUCCCAGGUUCGACUCCUGGAAGGGGCA